GUGUGUGUAUGUUGUGUAUAUGUUUCACUUUCUCAGAGUUAAUUACGGUUCACAGGAAAGUGUGGAAGAAAGGAAAAUUCAUUAAUGAUCCUUCCGCAGGUUCACCUACGGAAA
rnacentral:misc_RNA from 1 species